rnacentral:rRNA from 1 species
UUCCGGUUGAUCCCGCCGGACCCCACUGCUAUCGGGAUAGGACUAAGACAUGCUAGUCGUGUGCCUCAGCCAAAACGAGGCACGGCGCACAGCUCAGUAACACGUGGCUAACCUGCCCUUAGGACGAGAAUAACUCCGGGAAACUGGGGCUAAUGCUCGAUAAGUGAAGAACUCUGGAAUGAGUCUUCACUUAAAAGAGUCUGCGUUAUGCUCGUAGAUUUCGCUUAAGGAUGGGGCCGCGACCGAUCAGGUUGUUGGUGAGGUAAUGGCUCACCAAGCCUUUUACCGGUGCGGGCCGUGAGAGCGGGAGCCCGGAGAUGGGCACUGAGACAAGGGCCCAGGCCCUACGGGGCGCAGCAGUCGCGAAAACUUUGCAAUACACGAAAGUGUGACAGGGCUAUCCCGAGUGCCAUCCGCUGAGGAAGGCUUUUACCCAGUCUAGAAAGCUGGGGGAAUAAGGAGAGGGCAAGUCUGGUGUCAGCCGCCGCGGUAAUACCAGCUCUCCGAGUGGUGUGGAUGUUUAUUGGGCCUAAAGCAUCCGUAGCUGGCUAAGUUAGUCCCCUGUUAAAUCCAACGAAUUAAUCGUUGGAUCGCGGGGGAUACUGCUUGGCUAGGGGACGAGAGAGGCAGACGGUAUUUCCGGGGUAGGGGUGAAAUCCUAUAAUCCCGGGAAGACCACCAGUGGCGAAGGCUGUCUGCUAGAACGCGCCCGACGGUGAGGGAUGAAAGCUGGGGGAGCGAACCGGAUUAGAUACCCGGGUAGUCCCAGCUGUAAACGAUGCAGGCUAGGUGUUUGGACGGCCACGUGCCGUUCUAGUGCCGCAGGGAAGCUGUUAAGCCUGCCGCCUGGGGAGUACGAUCGCAAGAUUGAAACUUAAAGGAAUUGGCGGGGGAGCACCACAAGGGGUGAAGCUUGCGGUUUAAUUGGAUUCAACGCCGGA